rnacentral:piRNA from 1 species
UACCAAGUACGCAUUUUUCCA